rnacentral:rRNA from 1 species
UGUGUAGGCGGUUCUCUAAGUCUGGUGUGAAAUCUCCCGGCUCAACUGGGAGGGUGCGCCGAAAACUGGAGGACUAGAGUGCGGGAUGGGAGAGUGGAAUUCCUGGUGUAGCGGUGAAGUGCGUAGAUAUCAGGAGGAACACCUGUGGUGUAGACGGCUCUCUGGACCGCAACUGACGCUGAGACACGAAAGCGUGGGUAGCAAACA